AUUCCCCUAGUAGCGGCGAGCGAAGCGGGAAGAGCUCAAAUUUAUAAUCUGGCACCUUCGGUGUCCGAGUUGUAAUCUCUAGAAGUGUUUUCCGCGUUGGACCGCACACAAGUCUGUUGGAAUACAGCGGCAUAGUGGUGAAACCCCCGUAUAUGGUGCGGACGCCCAGCGCUUUGUGAUACACUUUCAAUGAGUCGAGUUGUUUGGGAAUGCAGCUCAAAUUGGGUGGUAAAUUCCAUCUAAAGCUAAAUAUUGGCGAGAGACCGAUAGCGAACAAGUACCGUGAGGGAAAGAUGAAAAGCACUUUGGAAAGAGAGUUAACAGUACGUGAAAUUGUUGGAAGGGAAACGCUUGAAGUCAGACUUGCUUGCCGGAGCUUGCUUCGGUUUGCAGGCCAGCAUCAGUUUUCCGGGGUGGAUAAUGACGGUUUGAAGGUAGCAGUCUCGGCUGUGUUAUAGCUUUCCGUUGGAUACAUCCUGGGGGACUGAGGAACGCAGCGUGCUUUUUGCGAAAGACUCGUCUUUUUCACGCUUAGGAUGCUGGUGGAAUGGCUUUAAACGACCCGUCUUGAAACA
rnacentral:rRNA from 1 species